UUGAUUAAACCAGAGGAAUGAAAGUCUAAUUGCAAAAUUUUAGGCAUCAGUCAAGCUAACUGUGGACACCUGGCCCAAUUGGAGGUGCUUCACUGAUGCUGUUGAAACCAUAACUUUUAGGAACUGGCCCCAGCCUCUUCUCCUCCCCUCCCCUCCUCUCUCUCCUGUUCUCCUUCUCUCCUCCGUCUCCUGUCUUUUUCUUGCCUAAACAGCCAUCCAAAUCCCUGAUGACUCAGUGUGAUCGCGUUUCCACAGACAGGAACAGACUUCUCAAAAAGCACAAGAUGGUUGGGUGAAAUGCAAGUGAGGAAAAGAGCAAGGUGGAGUGGGCAGAGACUUUCUGAGCUGGCCAUCUAACUUCACGUCUAAUCAGAGAGUGAAUCAGUUACGUCUGCAAUUAUGUCAACAGCUCAGCAUCGUGACUGCUGCCUGGAACCCACGAUGGCGAGCUGUGAAAGAAAUAGGUUUGGAGUGGAGAGGUGGCGCUUGUGUUUACUGAAAACCUAUCGUGUGCUAGGUCCUGUGUUUACUGGAUACCUACUAUGUGCCAGGCCCUAUGCUUGCUUUUGCAUCUGUUCUCUUCCAAGGCAGGGAUCAGGAUCCUGACUGGGGGACCCUGGUCAGUUUCACCUUUCAGGGUCUUGUUUCUGCA